rnacentral:lncRNA from 1 species
GUCCAUCUUUGCUCUCUUUGGCUGCAGAGUCUUUCUCACUGCGAGCUGAUCACAGAUGACGGGAUUCGUCACCUAGGGAAUGGAGCCUGUGCCCACGACCAACUGGAGGUGAUUGAGCUGGACAAUUGCCCACUAAUCACAGAUGCAUCCCUGGAGCACUUGAAGAGCUGCCACAGCCUUGAGCGGAUCGAACUCUAUGACUGCCAGCAGAUCACCCGGGCUGGCAUCAAGAGACUCAGGGUAAAGAGCACUGCUCUCCAGCCUGCCUCCCCUCGUCUGUCUGUCUGUCACACACACUCUCUCUCUCUCUCUCUCUCUCUCUCUCUCUGUCUCACUUGUUCCUUGCUUUUUUCAGAUUUCUCAUGCUUUCUCUGUUGCAGUUUCCCUGGAUAGUAGACUCCACUCAUAUGUCAGGUGGAACUAGUAGGAAAGUGUCCCUUUGCCUAGUGAAGAAGUCUGGACGGUAGUAUCCAGGCCUUCUCCAAUCCCCAGAGCACAGACAAAACUAAAAAAAAAAAAGCUCUCCCAUGCUAGAAUUUGAUUCUAAAGGGGGAAAAAAAAGUGACAAAAAAAAAAAUUGCCUGACAGGGUGUGGCACGCAUCCUCAUAAUCAGGAGGCUGAGGAGAGGAUCCUAGGUGAGGUACCAGUCUGGAUGGUGGAGUGAGCUCACCAUCCACACGAGGAGGCUGGAGGAUGCAGCCGGCAGAGAGCUUGCCUAGUGUGUACAAGGAAGAGGAGGGGAGACUGGAGACUGCACAGCUCCACGCUUGCCGUGGGAGCAGCAGUGUGGCAACCACCUCCCACAACAGAAAAAGGGCUCCUGAGACCUCACGUCGACAGGACAGUCAGUCUUGGGCUAGCCAGAGCAUCUUUGUUUACUGGUCUUUUGAUUUUCCCUUUUACUCAGCUAUUAAGGGUUGUCUAAAGAAGCUGAGGUCCUAAAGGUUCCUCACUUAACGAGGAACCCAUGCCUUAAACCUCGUAAGUAUUCGGAUAAGACUAGAAAUACGUUUUGAUUGAAUAAGUAAUUGUUUUA